AGUUUGAUCCUGGCUCAGGAUGAACGCUAGCGACAGGCUUAACACNUUNAAGGUCGAGGGGCAGCGGGGUUGUAGCAAUACAACUGCCGGCGACCGGCGCACGGGUGAGUAACACGUAUGUAACCUGCCCUCUGCAGGGGGAUAAGCGGAAGAAAUUCCGUCUAAUACCGCAUAAUACAAUUUGGAGACAUCUCCGGGUUGUCAAAGGAGUGAUCCGGCAGAGGAUGGACAUGCGGCACAUUAGCUAGUCGGCGGGGUAACGGCCCACCGAGGCUACGAUGCGUAGGGGUUCUGAGAGGAAGGUCCCCCACACUGGUACUGAGACACGGACCAGACUCCUACGGGAGGCAGCAGUGAGGAAUAUUGGUCAAUGGGCGGAAGCUUGAACCAGCCAAGUCGCGUGAGGGAAGACGGUCUUAUGGAUUGUAAACCUCUUUUGCAGGGGAGCAAGGCGCGGUACGUGUACCGCGAAGGAGAGUACCCUGAGAAAAAGCAUCGGCUAACUCCGUGCCAGCAGCCGCGGUAAUACGGAGGAUGCGAGCGUUAUNCCGGAUUUNNUUGGGUUUUAAAGGGGUUGCNGCAGGGCGGGACUNUUNANNUCAGCGGGUAAAANUNUCGGUGCNUCAACNCCGGNCCCGGCCCGUUGAAACUGGCAGCCUUGAGUGAGCGAAGAAGUAUGCGGAAUGCGUGGUGUAGCGGUNAAAUGCAUAGAUAUCACGCAGAACUCCGAUUGCGAAGGCAGCAUACCGGCGCUCAACUGACGCUCAGGCACGAAAGCGUGGGUAUCGAACAGGCUUAGAUACCCUGGUAGUCCACGCAGUAAACGAUGAAUGCUCACUGUCCGGGCCGUUUAAGGCCUGGGUGGUCAAGCGAAGGCGUUAAGCAUUCCACCUGGGGAGUACGCCGGCNACGGUGAAANCUCAAAGGAAUUGACGGGGGNCCCGCACAAGCGGAGGAACAUGUGGUUUUANUUCGAUGAUACNCGAAGGAACCUUUACCCGGGNCUCAAACGGNAAGGGGACNGUNUGAGAAAUCAUACAUUUCNUUCGGGACCGCUUCCGAGGUGCUGCAUGGUUGUCGUCAGCUCGUGCCGUGAGGUGUCGGCUUAAGUGCCAUAACGAGCGCAACCCCUAUUGACAGUUGCUAGCAGGUAAAGCUGAGGACUCUGUCGAGACUGCCGGCGCAAGCUGUGAGGAAGGCGGGGAUGACGUCAAAUCAGCACGGCCCUUACGUCCGGGGCGACACACGUGUUACAAUGGCAGGUACAGCGGGAAGCCACCCGGCGACGGGGCGCAGAACCCGAAAACCUGUCUCAGUUCGGAUUGGAGUCUGCAACCCGACUCCAUGAAGCUGGAUUCGCUAGUAAUCGCGCAUCAGCCACGGCGCGGUGAAUACGUUCCCGGGCCUUGUACACACCGCCCGUCAAGCCAUGGAAGCCGGGGGUGCCUAAAGUGCGUGACCGCAAGGGACGCCCUAGGGUAAAACCGGUGANCUGGGGGCUAAGUCGUAANCAAGGUAACCC
rnacentral:rRNA from 1 species